rnacentral:rRNA from 1 species
ACGGAAGGCAGCAGUGGGGGAUAUUGCACAAUGGGGGAAACCCUGAUGCAGCGGCGCCACGUGUGGGAAGAAGCAUUUCGGUGUGUAAACCACGGUCGUGAGGGAAUAAUGCUUGGCCUCGGCCAAGUUGAAUGUACCUCGAAAGGAAGCACCGGCAAACUUCGUGCCAACAGCCGCGGUAAUACGAGGGGUGCAAGCGUUGUUCGGAGUCACUGGGCGUAAAGGGAGCGCAGGCGGAGAUGCAGGCAGUCUGUACAAUACCGGGGCCCAACCCCGGACCUGCAGACUGGACUGUUUCUCUUUGAUAGUUCAGGGGCAAGCGGAAUUCCUGGUGUAGCGGUGGAAGGCGUAGAGAUCUGGUAGAACACCGAUGGCGAAGGCAGCUUGCUGGGGACUUAUCGACGCUCAUGCUCGAAAGUGCGGGUAGCAAACAGGAUUAGAUACCCUGGUA